GAUGAACGCUGGCGGCGUGCCUAAUACAUGCAAGUCGAGCGAACAGACGAGGAGCUUGCUCCUCUGACGUUAGCGGCGGACGGGUGAGUAACACGUGGAUAACCUACCUAUAAGACUGGGAUAACUUCGGGAAACCGGAGCUAAUACCGGAUAAUAUAUUGAACCGCAUGGUUCAAUAGUGAAAGACGGUUUUGCUGUCACUUAUAGAUGGAUCCGCGCCGCAUUAGCUAGUUGGUAAGGUAACGGCUUACCAAGGCAACGAUGCGUAGCCGACCUGAGAGGGUGGUCGGCCACACUGGAACUGAGACACGGUCCAGACUCCUACGGGAGGCAGCAGUAGGGAAUCUUCCGCAAUGGGCGAAAGACUGACGGAGCAACGCCGCGUGAGUGAUGAAGGUCUUCGGAUCGUAAAACUCUGUUAUUAGGGAAGAACAAAUGUGUAAGUAACUAUGCACGUCUUGACGGUACCUAAUCAGAAAGCCACGGCUAACUACGUG
rnacentral:rRNA from 1 species